rnacentral:lncRNA from 10 species
CCGCCUUGCAGUUUGAUCUCAGACUGCUCUGCUAGCAAUCAGCAAGACUCUGUGGGCGUAGUACCCUCCGAGCCAGGUGCGGGAUAUUAUCUCGUGGUGCACCGUUUUUUAAGCCCGUCGGAAAAGUGCGGUAUUCCGGGUGGGAGUGACCCGAUUUUCCAGGUGCCAUCCGUCACGCCUUUCUUUGACUCAGAAAGGGAACUCCCUGACCCCUUGCGCUUCCCAAGUGAGGCAAUGCCUCCCCUGCUUCGGCUCGUGCAUGGUGCGCGCACCCACUGACCUGCGCCCAUUGUCUGGCCCUCCCUAGUGAGAUGAACCCGGUACCUCAGAUGGAAAUGCUGAAAUCACCUGUCUUCUGUGUCGCUCACGCUGGGAGCUGUAGACCGGAGCUGUUCCUAUUCGGCCAUCUUGGCUCCUCCCGGGUCCUAUUUCUUAAUAGAAGCAGAUACAGGAAUACAUAUGCAGAUUUGUUACAUGGGAAUACUGCAUGAUGCUGAGGUUUGGAGUACAGAUCCUGUCAACCUGGUAUUGAGCAUAUGUGAAACAUUACUGUUGGGGGAAACUGGAUGAAGGAAAUAUGGGAUAUAUCUAUAUUGUUACACUUGCUUGAAAACCUAAAAUUACGUGAGCCUAAUGUAAUCAUUUGAGCCUUUUAAUCACAUGCGAAGAAGAGUAAAUCAUCAGAAGGUGGAAUGAAAAAGAUAUGACAGAAAAGGAAGUCAGACAAAUUCAAAGCUCGGCAAUGACUCCUUGACACUGUAUUGCAAACCUGGAGGUGGAGGGGGCCUAGUGGAAACCAUGAGAAAGAAUGCAAAUAAUCUCUAGGAGCAAAGAUUGCUCCCCACUGACAGCCAGCAAAAGGCAGAGAUCUUUGUCUUAUACUGCAUUGAAAUAAAUUCUGCCAACUGGGUGAUCUCGGAAGAAGAAACUUUCCCAGAGCCUCCAGCAAAAAAUUUAGCUCUGUUGAAACCCUGACUUUUCGGCCUUCUGAGGUCCUAAGGAGAGGACCCACUAUUCCAUCCUGUGCCCAGAUUUCUGACUCCUAAAAACUGUAAGAUCAUAAAUAUGUGUUGUUUUAAGCUAUGAAAUGUUGUAAUUUUUCAAAUCAUCAAUAGAAAAGUAAUACAGUAUCUCCUGAAAAAUUUCUUUUUAAAAAAUUGAAAUCCCUUACUGCCGAGCUAAUAUAGCUAUAGUAUGUUAUUUAUAAUUAAUAUUAU